rnacentral:rRNA from 1 species
GACGAACGCUGGCGGCGUGCUUAACACAUGCAAGUCGAACGAUGAAGCCGGAGCUUGCUCUGGUGAAUUAGUGGCGAACGGGUGAGUAACACGUGAGUAACCUGCCCUUGACUCUGGGAUAACUGCGGGAAACUGUAGCUAAUACCGGAUACGACCCUCGGAGGCAUCUCCUGGGGGUGGAAAGAAUUUCGGUCAAGGAUGGACUCGCGGCCUAUCAGCUAGUCGGUGGGGUAAAGGCUCACCAAGGCGAAGACGGGUGGCCGGCCUGAGAGGGGGACAGGCCACACUGGGACUGACACACUGAGCAGACUCCUACGGGAGGCAGCAGUUGGGAAUAUUGCAUAAUGGGCGAAAGCCUGAUGCAGCAACGCCGCGUGAGGGAUGACGGCCUUCGGGUUGUAAACCUCUUUUAGCAGGGAAGAAGCGAAAGUGACGGUACCUGCAGAAAAAGCACCGGCUAACUACGUGCCAGCCGCCGCCGUAA